CCUGUUGAUUGUGUGCGUCCACAGGUGGAGUAGCAGGGGGUGUGUACGGCUGCACGCGGGCCAAUUUGUGAGCAAGACACACAAAUGCACAACAGUGCAAUACGAUUAAGGAUGGCUCAUAAUCAGCACGAGGAGAGCACGCAGAGUGACUCCAAUCAAACACGCCCACGGAUGGACCGAGUUGAACAGGGCCUCAUUCAGCUCAACUUGUUAGAAAAUGUGCGCGGAGGAUGGACCAUGAUGCACGAGCAGAGCAGAGGACGGAGGAGGACUUCACGGUGCACGAAACUCCCACAGGUGCAGUAAGGCAGUAAAGCACUACAAGGUGCGGCAACCCUUCUUGGGCAGGGAGUAGUUGGAGCCAUGGAUAACAGAGAAGCAGAUCAUACAGUCCUCGAUUCCCUCGA